rnacentral:lncRNA from 1 species
GGGAGUGAGGAAGACGAUGCUUCUGCUGUUUCCAUUUCUUUUUCUUUUUUUGUUUUUCUUGAUUUUUAAUUAUUUCUUUUUUACUACUUAAUUUAUUUUGUUCUUUUUAAUAAAAAAAUCAGAAAAUAUUUAUAGGUUCUUAUUUUCUUUUAUUAUUAUUAUUUAUUUAUUUUUUAUUAUUAUUUUUUAUUUAGCUUAAUUUGUUUUUAACAGAGAUAAUAAAAAACCAUAAAAAUGUUUAUUUUGUUUUUUAUUUUGUUUUAGAUCUGUUAGCCCAGUUCAUAUAUUUAACACAGUAUAUCAGUAGCAAAUAUUGUUGAGUGGUCUAGUGGAAAGAGGUUAGUUUCAUAGUAUUAAAUGGAGAGGGUUCGAUACUCAUGUGUGGAACUUUUUGCUUUUUAUUUGAUUUUAUCUUCCUUUAGCAUUUUUUAUUCUUUUAGUAUGUUGAUUAAUAUCUUUUUAUGUUUAUUACACUCAUAUGUUCAUUUUGUUGAUAAUGUGUAGUUGUUGUAUUUUAGUUUAGUUCAAAAUCUUUUUUUCAAACUAUAAAAAUCACACUUUUCUCGAUUUAAUAUCGAGCCCAUUUUUACACCCUUGUAAGUCGAUUGCUUUUUUUAAGCAUCGCCAUCAACCUCACAUAGCUUACUCUUGGGCUUUCUUACAAUGAGCCGGUUCCCUCGCACUUACACUCAUACAUUGUUUAUUGUUUCAUUAUUUCAUUCUUUGAUUAUUUGAUUCGAUUAUAUAUUUGUUUAAAUAUUUUACUUGUGUGAUUAACUGUGGCCUACUUGUAUGGUGUAUGAGGCAUAUACUUAUAUUGUUUGAUUGCCAUGUCAAUCCCCAUUCAUAACAAAUGUAUCCCUCUCCCAUG